CCUGACCUCACUUGACCCUGAUCCUGCUACUUGUCUCCUGACUGCAACCUCAUAAUUGACAGCCAGGCACAAGUCAACAGCAUUCCAGCUUACACGCCUUCUGUUAAUGAAGGGAAAGGAGCGAUGACACACUGCCAGGAAGCUUGGCUACUCUUAAGAUUCUUCCUCAAGGCCCAUAGUCUAGAUCUCUUCCCACCUCCCUUACUUCUGGACAGAGAGUAACAAGCCACCUGCCUCAAUGAGUUAGCAAAACUGAG